AUAGUUAAGCAUCUCCCUUACACCGAGAAGACAUCCAUGCAAGUUGGAUCACCCUGAGCUAAACAGCUAG
rnacentral:tRNA from 1 species